GCAUUUAAGCAGAAAGUGUUUCAGGCUCUGCAGAGGUGACACUGGCGUGUUUCUGCACUCAGGGUGCCCUUCCUGCCUUUUCCUCCCGGACACAGAGUCACAAGUGUGCACAGGGAAUGACAGACUCGGCGUCCAGUGGAGCCAUCCCCUGGCCUCGGAGUAGGAGGCGCGCCCAGGCCAGGCCAGACCACAGUGUAACAGGAGGGAGGAGGGCUUGCUUCUUUCAGGCAAGAAAAUUAAAACGGACAAAGAAAUAAAAGUAUUAAAUGUAUAGGAAAAACUGGAGUUUUUAUGACAGCGAUCAUCUAUAAAGAAACCAAGAGAAGUAAGCAAACAUUUGAACUAGCUCAGACAAGCAGCCUGCUUCACCCGCAGUUCACAAGGAAAACCCACAAUCAUAACGUUAAAAAUAUUCCCAAGCGCCGGGCGCGGUGGCUCACGCCUGUAAUCCCAGAACUUUGGAAGGCCAAGGUGAGAAAAUUGCUUAAGGUCAGGAGUUCAAGACCAGCCUAACCAACAUGGUGAAACCCCAUCUCUACUAAAAAUACAAAAAUUAGCCAGGCGUGGUGGCAGGUGCCUGUAAUCCCAGCAACUCGGGAAGCUGAGGUACGAGAAUCGCUUGAACCUGGGAGGGGGAAGUUGCAGUGAGCCGAGAUAGCGCCAUUGCACUCCAGCCUGGGCGACAGAGCGAGACUAAAAAAUGAAAUAUGAAAUGAAAUGAAAUAAUGAAAUGAAG
rnacentral:lncRNA from 1 species